GCUUACGGCCAUACCUCUCUGGCUCCGGCUUGAUCUCGUCUGAUCUCAGAAGCUAAGCAGAGUAGCGCCUGGUUAGUACUUGAAUGGAAGAUCGCCCUGAGAAUCCCAGGUGCCGUAAAGCU
ensembl:rRNA 5S_rRNA 5S ribosomal RNA